GGGGGGAGGCCGGAUCCUGGGCUGUGUCCCUGGCGCCCUGUGCUCUCGGGCCUGUGCUGCUGGAUUCGUGCUCCCAGCGGUGCAGCCGCUU
rnacentral:pre_miRNA from 1 species